rnacentral:rRNA from 1 species
UUCCAGACUCCUACGGGAGGCAGCAGUGGGGGAUAUUGCACAAUGGGGGGAACCCUGAUGCAGCGACGCCGCGUGGGUGAAGGAGUGCUUCGGCAUGUAAAGCCCUAUCGGCAGGGAAGAAGCAAGACGGUACCUGACUAAGAAGCCCCGGCUAACUACGUGCCAGCAGCCGCGGUAAUACGUAGGGGGCGAGCGUUAUCCGGAUUCACUGGGUGUAAAGGGAGCGUAGACGGCCAUGCAAGCCAGGGGUGAAAGCCCGGGGCCCAACCCCGGGACUGCUUUGGAAACUGUGGAGCUAGAGUGCUGGAGAGGUAAGUGGAAUUCCUAGUGUAGCGGUGAAAUGCGUAGAUAUUAGGAGGAACACCAGUGGCGAAGGCGGCUUACUGGACAGUAACUGACGUUGAGGCUCGAAAGCGUGGGGAGCAAACAGGAUUAGAUACCCUGGUAGA